rnacentral:rRNA from 1 species
GAUGAACGCUGGCGGCGUGCCUAAUACAUGCAAGUCGAGCGAACAGACGAUGAUCUUGCUCCUCUGACGUUAGCGGCGGACGGGUGAGUAACACGUGGAUAACCUACCUAUAAGACUGGGAUAACUUCGGGAAACCGGAGCUAAUACCGGAUAAUAUAUUGAACCGCAUGGUUCAAUGGUGAAAGACGGUUUUGCUGUCACUUAUAGAUGGAUCCGCGCCGCAUUAGCUAGUUGGUAAGGUAACGGCUUACCAAGGCAACGAGGCGUAGCCGAGCUGAGAGGGUGAUCGCCCACCCUGGAACUGGGACACGGUCCAGACUCCUACGGGAGGCAGCAGUAGGGAAUCUUCCGCAAUGGGCGAAAGCCUGACGGAGCAACGCCGCGUGAGUGAUGAAGGUCUUCGGAUCGUAAAACUCUGUUAUUAGGGAAGAACGAAUGUGUAAGUAACUAUGCACGUCUUGACGGUACCUAAUAAGAAAGCCACGGCUAACUACGUG